GACAGAGGUGCCGAGCGUUAGGCGGAAUCACUGGGCUUAAAGCGUGUGUAGGCGGAUCUGUAAGUACCUUGUGAAAUCCCACGGCUCAACCGUGGAACUGCUUGGUAUACUGCGGGUCUUGAGCCACCUAGGGGCAAGUGGAACAAACGGUGGAGCGGUGAAAUGCGUAGAGAUCGGAAGGAACGUCAAUGGCGAAGGCAGCCACCUGGCAUAAUACUGACGCUGAGGCGCGAAAGCGUGGGGAGCGAACAGG
rnacentral:rRNA from 1 species